rnacentral:rRNA from 1 species
UACGAAGGGGGCUAGCGUUGCUCGGAUUUACUGGGCGUAAAGGGCGCGUAGGCGGAUGUUUAAGUCGGGGGUGAAAGCCCGGGGCUCAACCUCGGAAUUGCCUUCGAUACUGGACAUCUUGAGUACGGGAGAGGUGAGUGGAACUCCGAGUGUAGAGGUGAAAUUCGUAGAUAUUCGGAAGAACGCCAGUGGCGAAGGCGACUCACUGGCCCGUUACUGACGCUGAGGCGCGAAAGCGUGGGGAGCAAACAGG